rnacentral:rRNA from 1 species
UGCGUAGGGUGCGAGCGUUGUCCGGAUUUAUUGGGCGUAAAGAGCUCGUAGGCGGUUUGUCGCGUCGGCCGUGAAAUCUCCACGCUUAACGUGGAGCGUGCGGUCGAUACGGGCAGACUUGAGUUCGGUAGGGGAGACUGGAAUUCCUGGUGUAGCGGUGAAAUGCGCAGAUAUCAGGAGGAACACCGGUGGCGAAGGCGGGUCUCUGGGCCGUAACUGACGCUGAGGAGCGAAAGCGUGGGGAGCGAACAGG